rnacentral:misc_RNA from 1 species
GCUGCAUGUGCCCGUGUAUCUUUUUGUAUAGACUGUGUCAGUGUAUCAAAUGGAGAAAUAUGAAUAUAAGCAGACUUGGUAUUUUGAUGUUGCAAAGUUCAGUUAAGGCAAAAUUUCCAAUUAGCAUGACAUGUUAGUCAAUUAUAUUAUGCAUCACUUGCAUGUUGUAUCCAACAAGAAGAAACCAGUAGGAUUGUUAUCCUCUUAUGCAAAAGAACAACACAGAUGUUGAACAAACAUAUUCACGCUUUGUCAGUGUGAGGUUAU